rnacentral:rRNA from 1 species
GAUGAACGCUGGCGGCGUGCCUAAUACAUGCAAGUCGAGCGAACGGACGAGAAGCUUGCUCCUCUGACGUUAGCGGCGGACGGGUGAGUAACACGUGGAUAACCUACCUAUAAGACUGGGAUAACUUCGGGAAACCGGAGCUAAUACCGGAUAAUAUUUUGAACCGCAUGGUUCAAAAGUGAAAGACGGUUUUGCUGUCACUUAUAGAUGGAUCCGCGCUGCAUUAGCUAGUUGGUAAGGUAACGGCUUACCAAGGCAACGAUGCAUACCCGACCUGAGAGGGUGAUCGGCCACACUGGAACUGAGACACGGUCCAGACUCCUACGGGAGGCAGCAGUAGGGAAUCUUCCGCAAUGGGCGAAAGCCUGACGGAGCAACGCCGCGUGAGUGAUGAAGGUCUUCGGAUCGUAAAACUCUGUUAUUAGGGAAGAACAAAUGUGUAAGUAACUAUGCACGUCUUGACGGUACCUAAUCAGAAAGCCACGGCUAACUACGUG